rnacentral:tRNA from 1 species
GGAAGUGUAGCUCAGUGGUAGGGUGCAUGCCUAGCAGGCAUGAGGUCCUGGGUUCAAUCCCCAGCAUCUCCA